AACGAACGGUGGCGGCGUGGAUAAGACAUGCAAGUCGAACGGGACUUUUAGUGUAGCAAUACAUUAAAAGUUCAGUGGCGUAAGGGUGCGUAACACGUGGGAAAUCUGCCGAGAAGUGGGGGAUAGCUCGCCGAAAGGCGAAUUAAUACCGCAUGUGGUCAGCGAGGACAUCCUCGCGAAACCAAAGCCGGGGCAACCUGGCGCUUCUUGAUGAUCCCGCGGCCUAUCAGCUAGUUGGCGGGGUAAAAGGCCCACCAAGGCUAUGACGGGUAGCUGGUCUGAGAGGACGACCAGUCACACUGGAACUGAGACACGGGUCCAGACACCUACGGGUGGCAGCAGUCGAGAAUUUUUUCUCAAUGGGGGCAACCCUGAAGGAGCGACGCCGCGUGGAGGAUGAAGGUCUUCGGGAUUGGUAAACUCCUGUCAUUAGGGAACAAAUCUUCCAGUUAACUG
rnacentral:rRNA from 1 species